rnacentral:rRNA from 1 species
UACAGAGGGUGCAAGCGUUAAUCGGAAUUACUGGGCGUAGCGUGCGUAGGUGGUUUGUUAAGUCAGGUGUGAAAUCCCCGGGCUCAACCUGGGAACUGCGCUUGAUACUGGCAGACUAGAGUGUGGUAGAGGGUAGUGGAAUUCCCGGUGUAGCGGUGAAAUGCGUAGAUAUCGGGAAGAACAUCAGUGGCGAAGGCGGCUACCUGGACCAACACUGACACUGAGGCACGAAAGCGUGGGGAGCAGACAGG